rnacentral:rRNA from 1 species
CACGUAGGGUGCGAGCGUUGUCCGGAAUUAUUGGGCGUAAAGAGCUCGUAGGCGGUGUGUCGCGUCGGCCGUGAAAACCUGCAGCUUAACUGUGGGCUUGCGGUCGAUACGGGCAUCACUGGAGUUCGGCAGGGGAGACUGGAAUUCCUGGUGUAGCGGUGAAAUGCGUAGAUAUCGGGAGGAACACCUGUGGCGAAGGCGGCCCCCUGGUCGGAUACUGACGCUGAGACGCGAAAGCGUGGGGAGCAAACAGG